rnacentral:rRNA from 1 species
GACGAACGCUGGCGGCGUGCUUAACACAUGCAAGUCGAACGGAAAGGUCCUGCUUUUGUGGGGUGCUCGAGUGGCGAACGGGUGAGUAACACGUGAGUAACCUGCCCUUGACUUUGGGAUAACUUCAGGAAACUGGGGCUAAUACCGGAUAGGAGCUCCUGCUGCAUGGUGGGGGUUGGAAAGUUUCGGCGGUUGGGGAUGGACUCGCGGCUUAUCAGCUUGUUGGUGGGGUAGUGGCUUACCAAGGCUUUGACGGGUAGCCGGCGUUAGAGGGUGACCGGCCACAUUGGGACUGAGAUACGGCCCAGACUCCUACGGGAGGCAGCAGUGGGGAAUAUUGCACAAUGGGCGGAAGCCUGAUGCAGCAGCGCCGCGUGCGGGAUGACGGCCUUCGGGUUGUAAACCGCUUUCGCCUGUGACGAAGCGUGAGUGACGGUAAUGGGUAAAGAAGCACCGGCUAACUACGUG